UACGGAGGGUGCAAGCGUUAAUCGGAAUUACUGGGCGUAAAGGGUGCGUAGGUUGUAGAUUAAGUUGCCUGUGAAAUACCUGGGCUUAACCUGGGAAGGUCAGGUGAUACUGAUUUACUGGAGUAUAGGAGAGGGCAGUAGAAUUUCCGGUGUAGCGGUGAAAUGCGUAGAUAUCGGAAGGAAUACCGGUGGCGAAGGCGACUGCCUGGCCUAAUACUGACACUGAGGCACGAAAGCGUGGGUAGCGAACAGG
rnacentral:misc_RNA from 1 species